GAGGAGAGACUUGCAGAGAUUAGGGUGGCAGCCAGACUUAGGGACCCUCCCGGUGUUUCCAAACACCUUCCUUCCGCAGGCGUUCCAGCUGGGCUGGGCUGGGCAGGUGAGUCAGCCGGAGGCUCCCGUCUGCCAGAAGAGGGGCCGUGUCCCUUUAAAGACAUGUGAUACUUUCCCCCCAGCCGGGGAAUGCAUUGAAAUAGACUCUUCGGUACUUACACCGCGCUGUAUAGGCGAUCUGCGCUUUUCCUACGUACAUCUGCUCUUACUCCGCUCUGAGUGCAUUGGAGAGAGAGAGAUACAUAUAUAUAGGAAAGGGGAGAGAGGGUGGAGGUAAAAAAAGGAGAGAGAGGGGCGGGCUGGUGUGUCAUUAAACAUCCACCGAUCCUCUUCUCUAAGUGCCCUGGAAGCCUGCGAAUUAUCUCAAGAUCACUUGAAAGGUCUCAUCGAGCAGAAGGUGUCGCUCCGAGAUGAUUUAAAGGUGAAAAUGACAGGCUUUCCACCUCUCAAAGCUUGGCUACUUUUCUGACAGCCUGGGAGAUAGAGAGAGAGAGAGACAGGGAGAGAGCGAGAGAGCCUAGAUGUCUUCCUUACUCUUGGAAUAGGAUUGCCAACGAGGACACAGAGACACAAACCAAUCCCCGGUUUCGUUUUCGUGCGUCCUCAAGAAAGGCUGCUGUCGAAGAUUGCCGGGCGAAACUGCACGAUCCCGUGUUGUGGUGCAGAUGGAUUUUUUGGGGGAAAGUGUCCAGUCUUUCCAAUGAACGCGAACCGGGCACUGUGCUUUGGGUUGGAAUCCUCAGGUAAGGACGGAGCUGCUCGGAGGACUUCUCGGGAUCCUCCCGCCGAACGAAUGUCAAAUAAAUAUACCUAUAUGUAUCAGUAAUAAUAAUAAAAAAAAUUGUUGUUAUUGUUAUUCGGAUGAGAGAGAGAGAGAGAGAGAGAGAGAGAGAGAGAGAGAGAGGGUCAGAUCAUCAAACCCAGGGAAGAAAGGUUAGCAAAGGGAAAUGUUGGCUCUGGAGAAAAGUUCAUACCAAUAAUGUUGUUUGAAGAUGGAGGGUGAACGCUGGGGGGCGGGGGGGUUGAAAAGUCCUCACUCUAGAAAUGCUGCCUGAAAAGAGAGAGAAUGCGAAGAGAUCAGCAGGAGAAGUUUUUUUUCCUGUCUUUCCCCGCUGUUUAAAAGACUACUCUGCUUGGAAGAUCAGCCCCAGUGGAGAGGGAAGCCUCUUUUCUUUCCCCUUUAAAUGUAUUUGCUGAUUGCAUCAGAUACACACACACACCAUUCAUAUAUAUAUAUAUAUAUCCCAAACGAAAAGAGGGAGGGGCAUCCAUCUCUUUGAAAUCCACCCAGAAGUGCAUUUGUGAGGGGCUUGGAAGGGAAGGGCUGGCUGUGUGUGGUGCUUUUGUUGCUGAGGUUUAAGGAAAUAAAAGGGGGGGGGGAGGUAAGCCAAAAGUAAACAGCAGGGAGAAGGAAACAACUAAUUAUAUAUAUGUGCUGGGUGAGUACAUCAGAAACACAGAGCAGAGAGUAAAAGGGCAUCCCGCUGGUGAAAAUUAUGUUUUGCAAUUUGGUUGUUAAUUAUGCUUCUCCUUUGGAGCUGGAAACUUGUGUUUGAUCCAUUCAGCUUCCUCCCUCCCCAUUUCCCCCCUCAAAAAGAGCCUCUUACAAAGAACAUGCCUAAAAAUUCAAAAAAAAAGAACAAUGAUGUCCAUGUCUCGCACUUGACACUUGUACUCCAUGACUGAUCUGCCACUGGCAGUGAUUUCAAUUGUUAACCAACCGUGAGGAUAGAUCACUUCUGGGGGUUUUUUUAAUACUUGUAAGCCCAACCUUCAAAUGUGUGUGUGUGUGUGUGUGUGUAUGAGUUGUUCUGCAUGAGAGAUAAAAGAGGUUUAUUUGAGCUUGAAUGUCUUUUCUCCCUUCCUCUGGGAAAAAAAAAAAGAUGUUCAUCUGAUUGGAUUAUUAGAUAGAAAAUGCCAUCUUGUCAUUGGCUGACUAAGGAGCAUGCCUGAAGUUUGAUUAAUUUGGCAAUGUGGAAUGCAGCAGAAGGUGUUGUUAAAAGAACUGGAUGGAGCACAGCAUAGCCAAGCCUUGGAAAUCUGGCGAUCCUUGAAGGCUUAGAGGAGAGGCUGUUAAACUUGUAAAGUUUACACGGUGUCUGUGUGUGGAAAUGCCCAGUGCCACAGAGGUAUCAAGUGAUGGCGUAUGUCGCCCUAGCAGAGAGAGAUCUCUUGCUUUGGUAAUGAGGAUUCCUUUCUAUUUUCGAUACAAAUUGAUUUCUGAAUAGAUCAGUCCUCCGCCCUUCCUCCAUUACUCAGGAAAUUCAGUCUAGUCCUACAAGUUUUCUUUCGACGAGACACAAAAGAAAAGGAAGCUGUGUGUGUAUGGACGGAUAGAACAGAGUUCUGAGAAACAAUUACUUUGCUUAGCAGACAACACUGCAAUUAAAAAUUAAUGGCCUUAGAAGUUAAAAACGAUGCAGCCCCUGCCGGAGAGAGAUUAGACUUGCCAGAUUGUCAAGGCAGAGCUUGCUUGAAAUGUGUCUUGGCACUGGAUGUCAAGUUACUAUUUACAAUCUGCUUUAUGAAGUUCUGAGAGGGCUCAUCUAUAUUAAUCUCUCUGUGAUUGCACAGGCACCUUAAUGCUGUGAGAUUUGGCAGUAGCAUGUUCCAGCUACAACGCCCAGUUUUCCUGGCCCAUUUCCAUUGACUAGCAAGGCGUGAAUGGCACCCUGCGAUGGCACCCACUACGUCCCACGUUGUUGCUAUUUUGCAGGAUGGGUUCACUCUCGAAAAUCUUGUACGCCCAAGCGAUUUGCUUGCAUGCUUUGUGUGCCCAUAUCACGAAACAGAGUUACUCAUUGGAGAUAUACUUGCCUAGAGUGUUUCUGAUCACACCUUGAAAGUGCAAUUAAAGAAUGAAAUGGAGCGUGAAUUUCUUAGCUUCUGCCUUAAGACUGUCCCAUAGAACUGACACGUCCAUUGUGACACAAGCUUUGGCAGGCUUAGAUCUCCUCCAUCAGCUGCACCUUGGUUUCCUGUUAACCUUGGGCUUCUUUUAGCACUGCUUUCAUUUAUGCCCCUGAAUUAUUAAAAGUUAAUCUCGAAGCAGGCAGCUUCCUUGCAUUCCUUUGGACGCACUCCUUUGUCACAUGACAACUGGUCUGGAGGAAAGGGGGGGGGAAUUGAGGUGGGGAAGCAUCCCCCCCCCACCUUCCUUCCAACAUGGUUCAGAUGCACAUAGCAUCCGAAUGGAAGCAGAAUGUGAAUUCACUUGCAGUGGGUGCUAAUUGUUGUCUACUAUUUCCUUUAGAGAACGGCCAUGGUCUCUGCAAUGUCCUGGGUCCUGUAUUUGUGGAUAAGUGCCUGUGCCAUGCUGCUCUGUCAGGGCUCACUUCACCACACCUUCCAGCAGCAUCCUCUGCACAGACCAGGUAGGACCAGUUACAAAGAUGCUGCUCUGUGCAGCCUCAUGUGUGAGCCUAUACUGUAUAUUGAUGCAAUGGGGAUUAAUCUGUUCCACCCCUGACAUUCUACGAGCUGCUUCCUUGCAUGACAAUGAAAUCAACCAAAUAUUUGCUCUCUUGCCGCGGAAAAUCACAACCUAUUUUUGGGGGGGAGGGGUGUGUGUUUCUGUCAGUUUCCUCAAAUUGGCAUGGGAAAGCUCUUUAGAUUAUACUGUAGAUUCUUUUUACACUGUGUGGUAAGAGAAUAAGAUUGCUUUCUCCUGUGGAGAAACAAUGCAGUUAUAUAACUUUGAGCACUUUUAUUUCCUGUGCAUUUGCGAACUGAGGCACAAGUCUCCCCUCCCUGCAAGGAAAAGAAAAGACAGGGGGCCCAAUGUUUGCAUUCAGAUGAGAAAAGGACAGAUAAUCACAUGCCUAUUUUAGUAACUUAUUUUCUCUUACAUCUGUGGAUGGAGACAAAAAACUCAAAACACCCACCUACCAAUAACUAUGCAUUAUCCUUUACUGCCACAUGCAGGGUGAAUUCUAGAAUGUGGGGAGACCUGCUUGGCAAUGUUGCAACACAAUCUCAGCCCUUUUACUCAGAAGUAUGUCCCCCUGUAUUCGGUGAUGCUUAUGCCCUGGUAAACGUGUUUAGGAUUGCAACCUAAGCCAUGUCUCCAGGAAGCCCCUUAAUUCAAGCCUUAUGUAACCACUUAUUGUUCCUGGGAUGGUUAUGCCAAGUGUAAACGAUGCUGCGACAUGGCCUGCAUUUUUGUCGAACGCUGCUAUUUGUGAUCGUGGUGAACGUAUGAUAAGGCGAACGGUAUUUCUGGUAAAGCAUGUCAUGUUUCCAAGGAUGCUCCAUGGCUGAAAGGUGCAAAAAAAGAGGAUUUUGGUGUCGGUAAUAGAAAUUGAUUAAGGUAAGAUUGCGUCUAAGGCAUUGGGUUGCAUUGACAUUCCUCAGAUGGAAAUCAACAAUGUAAUAUUUCAAAGCUGACCAUUCAUUUGGAACUUGCUUCAUGGGCUUACUGUUCAGGAAAUGAUCCAUGUGCAUACAAUGCAAUAUGAGAAGGCUGAUGAACUGGCCACUGCUCAUAGGAUGUGGUGAGCUUCCCACCCCCCUUUUCUCUCUCUUAGAGUUUCAAAAGUGAAAUGUGUGUAGUGAUGAUGGGUAAUCAUGCUCUGCAGAUUUUGAGAAUAUCACUUUUGGCUCCAAUAGAUGUCAACGUCUUUAUUCAAUCUGAUGUGGGUGAGGAAAAGCGUCCUUCAGACCUGGAAGUAAUAGCUUAAGAAUCUUAGAAACCAAAGGGAAGGUUUGCCCAAAAGGAUUGCGGUGAAAUUGCUCAUUGAUAGCUUCCUCUAGAUACAGCCCUUGAAUCAGAGUUGCACAGGAGCACAGUACUACUCUUAUGUCUUAUAUACCCCAUGCCAUUCUGUGUGUUGUGGAUUUCAUAUACAUUUUGCUCUAGGGUGCGCAAUCGAUUGCUUCACUAACUGUCAUUGUAAUUGAUCAGAGGCAGGUAGGACAACCGGUACGCAUGUCUUUCUCUCAGAGCCAUCAAGAGAAGGAAACAAAGCGCCCACUGAAACAGAAAGGUGGCAGCUAUCUGCUACCAAUGGCAGCACAAUGGACAAACAAACCACUGUAUGUAUAAAUAGUCAAAGGGAAAAUGCAAUCUCAUUUUUGCACAAUCAGUUGAAACAAGUGACAUGAUGAGAGAAAAAGAAAGGAAAGAGGGAUAGACCUUCCGGUGGCUGGCAGCAUUUGCCUAAGCUUGAAAAAUCACCUCCUUUAUGAAGCUAGAAGAGCACGGCAUGGGGUGCAUACAAAGUAUUGGGGGAAAUGGGAAAUAUGACAUAUCUUUCGCAGGGGCUGUGAUACAGACUGAAGGCUUUACAGCUGCCUCAUCACCUGCUUAGGAACAGCAGAGCUUUCCCUCUUGCGAGACUUUCUGAGGCAGGCAGCCUGCACCCUACAUGAGUAAGAUUGAUGGUCUUCUGAGCCCAGGCAGCCAAUUUCAGUCUCUCAAGAAAUAAGCCACUACAUUGACAGAUGAGUGGAAUUUGAUGGAAAUGCUCACCAUUGAUUCAGGUUGUUCCGUGUCUGGAUAGGAGAAGAUACACUGAGAGUCCUUUAGGAAGACAGAGUUAGAGGUUCUUACGAGAUUUCUUUUGUCACAAUACAGAAAUUCUAUCUAUCUAUAUCUAUCUAUCUAUCUAUCUAUCUAUCUAUCUAUCUAUCAUCUAUCUAAUCUAAUCUGUGAAUUUGUCAUCUUAUUUGAGAAUGCAAGUGGUGGUGGUGGUUGGGGAGUGUUGCACAACAUG
rnacentral:lncRNA from 1 species